rnacentral:rRNA from 1 species
AUUGAACGCUGGCGGCAGGCCUAACACAUGCAAGUCGAACGGUAACAGGGAUCAGCUUGCUGAUUCGCUGACGAGUGGCGGACGGGAGGGUAAUGUCCGGGAAACUGCCUGAGGGAGGGGGAUAACUACUGGAAACGGUAGCUAAUACCGCAUAACGUCGCAAGACCAAAGAGGGGGACCUUCGGGCCUCUUGCCAUCGGAUGUGCCCAGAUGGGAUUAGCUAGUAGGUGGGGUAACGGCUCACCUAGGCGACGAUCCCUAGCUGGUCUGAGAGGAUGACCAGCCACACUGGAACUGAGACACGGUCCAGACUCCUACGGGAGGCAGCAGUGGGGAAUAUUGCACAAUGGGCGCAAGCCUGAUGCAGCCAUGCCGCGUGUAUGAAGAAGGCCUUCGGGUUGUAAAGUGCUUUCAGCGGGGAGGAAGGCAGUAAAGUUAAUACCUUUGCUCAUUGACGUUACCCGCAGAAGAAGCACCGGCUAACUCCGUG